rnacentral:rRNA from 1 species
UACGUAGGGUGCAAGCGUUGUUCGGAAUUAUUGGGCGUAAAGAGCUCGUAGGCGGCUUGUCACGUCGGCUGUGAAAACCCGGGGCUCAACUCCGGGCCUGCAGUCGAUACGGGCUGGCUUGAGUGCGGUAGGGGAGACUGGAAUUCCUGGUGUAGCGGUGAAAUGCGCAGAUAUCAGGAGGAACACCGGUGGCGAAGGCGGGUCUCUGGGCCGUAACUGACGCUGAGGAGCGAAAGCGUGGGGAGCGAACAGG